rnacentral:rRNA from 1 species
ACUCCUACGGGAGGCAGCAGUAAGGAAUAUUGCGCAACGGGCGACAGCCUGACGCAGCGACGCCGCGUGGGGGAUGAAGGUCUUCGGAUUGUAAACCCCUUUCGGCAGGGAAGAUGGAACGGGCAACCGUUCGGACGGUACCUGCAGAAGCAGCCACGGCUAACUUCGUGCCAGCAGCCGCGGUAAUACGAAGGUGGCAAGCGUUGUUCGGAUUUACUGGGCGUACAGGGAGCGUAGGCGGUUAGGUAAGCCCUCCGUGAAAUCUCCGGGCCUAACCCGGAAAGUGCAGAGGGGACUGCUUGGCUAGAGGAUGGGAGAGGAGCGCGGAAUUCCCG